rnacentral:rRNA from 1 species
CCUUAAUAGCGGCUGCACCAUUAGGAUAUCCUGAUCCAACAUCGAGGUCGUAAACCCCCUCGUCGAUUAGAGCUCUAGGAGGGGAUUGCGCUGUUAUCCCUAGGGUAACUAGGUUCAUUAAUCGGCUUGUGCCGGGUCUUUUGUGGCCAGAAGUACUGUUAGUUUGACCUGUGGGUCUGUGCUUUUAGGGCUGUAGUAGCCCGUCCAUGUGGAGGUUUUAUUUUUCUCCGUGGUCGCCCCAACCGAAGACAUGUUGGUAAGGCUCAUUUUGUUCAUUCCUUGCAGGGAGGGGUGCUUGACAUGAAUUACCUUAAGUCUAAAGCUCCAUAGGGUCUUCUCGUCUAACGAUAUUAUCCCCGCUUCUGCACGGGGAGAUCAAUUUCACUGACUUUAAAGGGGAGACAGUUAAGCCCUCGUGAUGCCAUUCAUACUAGUCUCUAAUUAAGAGACAAUUUAUUGCGCUACCUUUGCACGGUCAUAAUACCGCGGCCGUUUAACAGAGUCACUGGGCAGGCGGGACCUCUUAUUUGUUAAUUUUGCAAGAGGCGAUGUUUUUGGUAAACAGGCGAGGCUUGUGUUUGCCGAGUUCCUUCCCUUUGGUUUAGUCUUUCCGUGGGUACACACCUGUGUAGGAUUAACGAAUUUAUAUGUUAUGUUUUCUUGGUAUCUAUGUAGUAUUACAUUACCCUCUUUUAGUGGUUCGUUAGUUAUCGGGGGCGGGUCCGUUCCGAUUUAUACACGUGUAGCGGAGAGGGUCGUCCCCUCUUGUUACUCAUUUUAGCAGGGUCUUUCCCAGGGUUGAUGGGAGGGCCUUAUAGUGAAGUGGGGAAUAAAGAGCUGGGUUCGGUAUUAAGGGGAAGAAUCUACAGGAGCUAUAACGCUUUCUUUAUAGGUGGCUGCUUUCGGGCCCACUAAAGUAGGUUUCCUUAAUGUUAUUUGAUCUUUUUUCUCCCGGGGAGGUUGUAUCCUUUUUCAAAGGGGCUGUACCCUCUUUGACUAACUCUCUUAAUGUACUAGUAAUCUUUAAAGUCUAAUGGACAUACGAUUUUGGGUAUUAAGAGGCUGAACUUAAAUCCACUUCAAAGGCAACCAGCUAUAACUAGGCUCGAUAGGUUUGUCACUUCUACUUGAAGAUCUUCCCACUCUUUUGCGACAGAGACGGGUGUACCCCACAGGCGUUGGCCCAACAGGCUGUCUUGAAGUAGCUCGUCUAGUUUCGGGGGGCUGAACUACAGGUCUCUUUGCUCAGGGGUACUGGCUAAA